AUGAGGCAUAAAAUAUUCUUUUUGCUGUUACUCUAUGAUAGAAUUAGCACUAGAUGCCUAAUCAAAAGGAAAACUUGUUGCUUCAGAGCUAUGAGUGUGCUCUCUGCCAUGAGCAUGUCGAGGAAACAACUCCCCACCUACACUAGGACUACCCGUUUGCACUCUCAUGUUGGGAUCUCAUUGCCCCAAAUAGACACAGAGGAAUUUCUGUUUUUGAUGGAAUUAUCUUCCUUAAGCAAACCUUGCCCUCAUAGAUUGCCAUGGAUAUUCUUAGAAUGGGAUGUUGGAACAUAUGGAUGCAGAGAAAUGGAAAAAUCUUCAAUAAUAUCCUCCCAAGCCUGGAUUCUUGGAAGCAUGGCUUACAACAUGAUCUAUUGCUUGUCAAGCAUCAAACCAAAAGGAAGAACAUUACCUGCCUAG
rnacentral:rRNA from 1 species